ensembl:lncRNA
CACCGCAACGCCCUCUCUCCAUCCGUUUCUCUUGCUCUAACCACAGCUACUUCCUCGGUAAAACUGUUGGCUGAGGGGGGCAGGUGGUUAGUAUGAUUACACUCACACAACAAAACAUCCACAGAUGCAUGCUUACUACAAAGCGGAAGUGCCAGAUUAAUGCAAGAGUAAAUCAAUCUCUCCUGAGUGGCGCUCAAUGUCGGGGAAAGAAACUACUCCGGAGACAAAAAGUCAUCGACAAGGGAUUCAGAGAAGCACAUACCAAAACUGAAGAGAGAGGCAGAGUCACAAAGAGAUAAAGGAAGAUGUGGACGGUGACAGAGAGGAAGAGCGGAAGCAGAGAAGAAGUGUAAGCAAGUGAAGAGAGAGGAAGAGACGUCAAGUGGAUGUAGAAAGACGGAGAGAGUUUGGUGGAUUACUUUGCAUCUGAGUGACUGGUCGACUACAAACCCAAUUUUCUUACCACCUACCCAGGACCGUGACACCUCGGCUCGGCUUUUGUAAGAAGGGUGGAGAGGAAGAAAUUGUUUCAUGGCCUCCAACAGUAUCUUUGAGCCACGUUCAUCCUACCAGUCAGCUUUCAGACGAGCCAUUCAAACUGCACUAAACACAGCCUGAGGCUCUUCUGUCGUCCUCUCUUUAUCCGUCAUCCUGUCUCUCUGCCUCAUCUUGCCUCUCUCUCUCUCUCUCAACACACUGCUCACUUUUGUCUAUUUUCAUUUCUACGUUUCUACGUUGGAAGAACUAACAUUAAAUAGCUUUGACUGUGUGCAUGGUUACAUAGGUGCUCUCUCUCUCUCUCACUCUCUGCCUGUCUCCAUCUCUCUCUCCUUCUCUUUCUGUCUCUUUCUCUCUGUCAUUUCUUGUGUCAGAAAAUCAAUUUUUAGUUUAGCAGGAAUAAGCCCAUCUCCUCUCAUCACAGAGACCGGUUGAAUAAUUCAGCACACACACACACAAGAACUAAUGCUGUAAACAGGUGCCAUGCAACCGCCUCUCAAGCUCCGUGCAGCCAGACUAAAAGUUGUAGAUGCUUUCUCUGGUGAAGUUUAAGUUUUUAAAGAGAACCUGCAGCCAAUCAGAGGACAGGCGUGGGACUCCUGCUGACCUGUGUCGCGAAAUGUCUUCCUAGCUGAAAAACAUGGACACGCCUGCUCACUGCUGUCUGGUUUCUUGUCAGUGUUUGAAUUUACACUGACAGGAUGUUACACCUCAGUAGUACUGCAGAUUCAGAGUGAGAAGUGGCACACCCAAGUGCACUAACAUGCACAAUCUAAAGGCAAGCGUGAACACAGGAGAAGCUCUGCUAACGGCACACAAGACUUCUCUCUGCUCAGGAAACCAUUACUUCUCCAUAUCUACACAUAGAGGAUGUUUGGUGAUAUAUUAAUGCUCUGAAUGUACCUUUAAUAUGUAGCUUUGAACAAACAUCUGAGUGUAUCAGGGUGCUUUUCACUGCUUGUGGAGCAAAUGUUUAGCUGUAGGGCUUCAGUCCUGGUUAGCAGGGUGGAUCUCUACCUAUUGGUCAAAUAUUAGACACGGCUACUUCCUGUUUACGGAGCAAGGAUCAAUGAGACCAACUUUUACUUGAAUGUUUAUCGAUGUUAAAAUUAAAUGGUAUGUUGGCUUCACGGCUAAUUUGACAGACGGGAGGUUGAUCUGUUUAUGUGUGUGUGUGUGUGUGUGUGUGUGUGUGUGUGUGUGUGUGUGUGUGUGUGUGUGUGUGUGUGUGUGUGUGUGUGUGUGUGUGUGUGUGGACAGACAAAUUGAGAGAUCAACAGAAUGAGAAACUUAUUUUGAAUCCAUGAUGUUCCUUUAUCCUCACAGUUCUUCUUCAGGACAUUGGAUGUCUCCUUAAUGUAAAAGUGAUGAUCCGUUACCCAUGGUGACCUCUGCUGACCUUUAGUGACAAUCACCCUUUCACUACUUCCUCCAUCUGCCGCUAGAAGGACUGAAAGCUUUACGGCUCCCCCCCCUUCACGGUAAAUGCCAUAAAGCAACAGCCCUCUGUGCCAUAAAGUAAUCAAGCAGGCUGAGUGGCACCAUGCAGGGAAGAGUGUGGUAAAAACACACAAAUCAAUGUAUAAUGACAUAAAUACUGACACAAACUGAUGUUUUGUCUUUGCAAAUGAAGCAUUUUACGUAUGUACAAUAUUAACAAUAAACACUUUAUUUAGAAGACCUGUGUUGUGUAUGUGUGUGUGUGUGUGUGUUGUAUACAACAGUGUUCAGUGUGUGUGUUCGUAUGCAUGUGGGACAGCAUGAAUAUUAGUGUGUUUCGUCAGCGUGCGAGCCCACGUUGUUGCGCAAGUCUACAUUCUAUUCUGUGUGUGUAGGUGUGUGUGUGUGUGUGUGUGUGUGUGUGUGUGUGUUUGUGUGUGUGUGUGCGUGUGUAUGUGUGAGUGUGUGUCAUUUGGUGCUGCUGCUAACUGAUAUGUCAGAAAAUCAAUUAAUUACUUUUAAGCGGCAGCUAACUGCAUCCCCGCAAUACACCCCAUGAAUUAUAGACGAAGUAUGUGUGUGUGUGUGUGUGUGUGUGUGUGUGUGUGUAUGUGUGUGUGUGUGUGUGUGUGUGUGUGUGUGUGUGGUACAAUCGGUUGCUCUGUUAACUAGAGACAAUUGCUAACUUCUCCGUCAUUGAUCAACUGAUGAGAGUGCUCCGAUACAAAUCUACUGAGCUCUGAAGUGUCUGAACUGGCUCAUCAAUGUUUGCUUCUAUGGUGUGUGUGUGUGUGUGUGUCUGUGUGUGUGUGUGUGUGUGUGUGUGUGUGUGUGUGUGUGUGUCUGUGUCUGUGUGUGUGUGUGUGUGUAAUUCAAAAUAAGAACAAGGAAACCCUUUACACUUUCGUUGAUAUUAAAUUACAUUGACUAUAUGCCACAUUUGACUACAAGUCUUUUGUUAUAAAUUAUGAUUACCAUCAUAAAAAGCUCUUAAAAAUCAUGAAACUAUAAAAAUGUUGAUAUCACAUUGAAAACCACAAUUAAUGAAAGUUAAUUUGAGUAAAUUAGGGGAACCCUUAAAUAUGAGAGACCACAACCGUUGACACAAUGAGCCAGAUGAUACAGAUAUUAGUCAAAUCAACCCUUUCAUUGCAAAUUCCUUGAAAUGUGUUAAUACUGGGAUUAAUCUAAGGAAUAAUGUAAAUUGUUACAGGUUAAUUGAGGUAAAUUGAUUUUUUUCAAAAUUGCGUAAUUUGUCUUUACCAUUACAGUAUUCUAUUACCUGAUGAAUUCCAUAACUUUCCUGUUGCCCUGACAUCCGUACAAUUCAUUAGUAAAAAUUAGUUAGUAAAAAUUGGUCUGUGCAGGGUUUCUUUGGUGCUGACCCACAGCACGCAUGGAGUCACAACCGGCAGGUUAUAAGAUCAGACUCCAUCCAUCACACUGCACCUCACAAUAAAAAAGUUAAAUAUCAUAAUAUCAUAAAAAGAAUAUCAUCACAGACACUCAGUUCAUAAUGCUGUGAACACUGCAAUAAUCCCGUCAUUCCCCCUGUGUUACCUCAUUUAGGGAACAGACAGCACCUCAACUGACUUUUAUUGAAAUUAAUAAUCUUAAGGAUAUAUGUUCAUAAAAAGUGUGAAAGAAAGAUGCUGAUGAUAAAGCGGAGAUUAGCACAGAGGAGGACCUCUUUUCCCCAGACUCACCCCAUCCCUCCAUCGAUCCCCUCGCUCAGGGUGGCAGCGUUGUGUGCGGGUGUGUGUGCUAUUGAUCCGUACCGUGCCACUGUCACUGGCCUCAGGGUGGCCUCAGCUCAGGGACGACAGGGACAGACAGCCGCUGGCAGAGAGGGGGGG